CCAGAUGAAGGGCUUCAUCGGCGAAGGCGACAAGGUGAAGGUCACGCUCCGCUUCCGCGGUCGCGAGAUGGCUCACCAGGAUCUCGGCAUCAAGGUACUGGAGCGGAUCCGCGUGGAACUUGGCGAGACCAUCAAGGUCGAGCAGAUGCCGCGUCUGGAAAACCGCCAGAUGAUCAUGGUGCUGGCGCCGAAAUAGUUACUUUCCAACUUUCGCGAAGUGCAACAGCUCAGGCUGUUGCAGCUUCACGGUCUGUAGUUUUGGUAGUUUUUGCCUCGAGUUAAGUGUUAAUUUCA
rnacentral:misc_RNA from 1 species